rnacentral:rRNA from 1 species
UGGGGAAUAUUGGACAAUGGGGGGAACCCUGAUCCAGCCAUGCCGCGUGUGUGAAGAAGGCCUUAUGGUUGUAAAGCACUUUAAGCGAGGAGGAGGGUACUGGUAUUAAUACUACCAGGUACUGGACGUUACUCGCAGAAUAAGCACCGGCUAACUCUGUGCCAGCAGCCGCGGUAAUACAGAGGGUGCGAGCGUUAAUCGGAAUUACUGGGCGUAAAGCGCGCGUAGGUGGUUCGUUAAGUUGAAUGUGAAAGCCCCGGGCUCAACCUGGGAACUGCAUCCAAAACUGGCGAGCUAGAGUAGGGCAGAGGGUGGUGGAAUUUCCUGUGUAGCGGUGAAAUGCGUAGAUAUAGGAAGGAACACCAGUGGCGAAGGCGACCACCUGGGCUCAUACUGACACUGAGGUGCGAAAGCGUGGGGAGCAAACAGG